CCUACGGGAGGCAGCAGUGAGGAAUAUUGGUCAAUGGACGCAAGUCUGAACCAGCCAUGCCGCGUGCAGGAAGACGGCUCUAUGAGUUGUAAACUGCUUUUGUACGAGGGUAAACGCAGAUACGCGUACCUGUCUGAAAGUAUCGUACGAAUAAGGAUCGGCUAACUCCGUGCCAGCAGCCGCGGUAAUACGGAGGAUUCAAGCGUUAUCCGGAUUUAUUGGGUUUAAAGGGUGCGUAGGCGGUCUGAUAAGUUAGAGGUGAAAGCCCGGGGCUCAACUUCGGAAUUGCCUCUGAUACUGUCCGGCUGGAGAGUAGUUGCGGUAGGCGGAAUGUAUGGUGUAGCGGUGAAAUGCUUAGAGAUCGUACAGAACACCGAUUGCGAAGGCAGCUUACCAGGCUACUUCUGACGUUGAGGCACGAAAGCGUGGGGAGCAAACAGGAUUAGAUACCCGGGUAGUC
rnacentral:rRNA from 1 species